AACGAACGCUGGCGGCACGCCUAACACAUGCAAGUCGAACGCCUGGUAGCAAUACCGGGAGUGGCGGACGGGUGAGUAACGCGUGGGAACCUGCCUUGUGGUGCGGGACAACCCCGGGAAACCGGGGCUAAUACCGCAUGAUCCCCCUCGGCGAACGGGGGGUAAAGGAUUUAUCGCCAUGAGAGGGGCCCGCGUCGGAUUAGGUAGUUGGUGGGGUAACGGCCUACCAAGCCUUCGAUCCGUAGCUGGUCUGAGAGGANGGCC
rnacentral:rRNA from 1 species